GACAACAAUGACUUUCUAUGGAUAUUUUGGGGGAGUACAAAGCAAAACAGCGAAGGAGUAGCAUUAAAGUCAACAGAAGAAUGAGGAGAAGGACCCACAAUGUUGAAUUAUUGUCUCCUUCACUCCAUUCUGCAGUGGACACAAGCAGCAGCCCUGAGCAGGGCAUGUGAGGAGAUCUUGCCCUGGAUGUGUCAGUCUGGUGACCUCAUGCUUUGUACUCCAUCUUAGUGAUGACUGCUCUUGUACCUCAUGCUUAAUAAAGUGGUUUGGAUAAA